CGAGGUGGGCGGGACGGGUGAGUAAUGUCGGGGAAACUGCCCGAUGGAGGGGGAUAACUACUGGAAACGGUAGCUAAUACCGCAUAACGUCGCAAGACCAAAGAGGGGGACCUUCGGGCCUCUUGCCAUCGGAUGUGCCCAGAUGGGAUUAGCUAGUAGGUGGGGUAACGGCUCACCUAGGCGACGAUCCCUAGCUGGUCUGAGAGGAUGACCAGCCACACUGGAACUGAGACACGGUCCAG
rnacentral:rRNA from 1 species